AUGUCAUCCCGUGUUUUGAAAUUUCAAACUCCGUUGCAAAGUUUCUUGAAAUAUUUUCCAAUUGAUUCAGUUCUAUCUAAUUUACCACUUAAAAUAUUUGGAUGCACAACUUUUGUUCACGAACACAAACAUCUUGGUAAACUUGAACCCCAAGCAAUCAGAUGUGUUUUUAUUGGGUAUCAUCUUCUCAAAAAGGUUAUAAAUGUUUUGAUCCUAAUACAAAAAAAAAUAUUUGUAUCAAUAAAUGUUACUUCUUUUCAAAACAAACCUUCUUUUGGUAAUGAUCAUCUUCAGGGGGAAAACAAAUGUAGAUGUAUACUGAUCUUAAUGUUUCCAUAG